CCUCGACUGUUCGUAUCAUCUGUGAGUUAUUAACUAUUGUCUCAAGCAAUAUAACAUGCUUGAAUAUAAUUAAUUGAAGUCUAAACACGUGGGCUUAUAUGGAUAAUAUAGGUACUGGCUAUCAUUGCACUGCUGCGUACCCAGUGCAUCUGGACGUGGACAUAGGUGACAAUGGUGCCCUCGCCUUCGCUGACAGUAUUCGCUGGCGGAGCACCAGAAAAUGAUUUUACUAGUCAAAUAGCCAUGUCUCAACCACGACAGUUUCCAAAGGGGAACCAGAAAAGGAUGCCAGUCAGAUCAACUCCCACAUGGAAGUCAUUGUCCAUUGCUAGCAAUGUUAGGUACAUUAGACAGUACUAACGAUUAAAGCCAUCAGCCAUACUCAUAUUGUAAGUCUAAAAGGUCUUCUAUUACUGCGACAAUAAAAAUUUAAAUAAAGGUAGAAAUUUAGCACUAUAAGAGAUGAUUGAACCGGCCAGUCUACCUGGAAAAUGAUUCCGAUUGAAUAACAUUGGAUUAAAGCUUUACGCACCAUCAGUUGGUAGUAUGUUUUGUUGUUCAGACUAAAAAAAUAUAAAGUUACAACGAUUAUUUAAAAGAGCAACACGCAAGUUUCUUGCUCUUUCUUCUUGUGAUAAGACAGUUAUCCAAAUAAACUGUAGAUUAAAAAAAUAUAUAACUGUGAUUAUUCAAAAAUGCUUAAAUUAAGUUUAUAUGAAUAAAGAAUUUUCUAUUCUAUUCCAUUUUGUA